rnacentral:tRNA from 1 species
GGGGGAAUGUUAGUGGUCAGUUUGUCUUUGGACGUGCCGCUAACAAAUUAAAACAGAGACUAAGUAUGUAGCGCCUCUUCAUGGAUCGUUUGCGGACCCGGGUUCGAUUCCCGGCGCCUCCACCA